UACGAAGGGGGCUAGCGUUGCUCGGAAUUACUGGGCGUAAAGGGCGCGUAGGCGGAUAGUUUAGUCAGAGGUGAAAGCCCAGGGCUCAACCUUGGAACUGCCUUUGAUACUGGCUAUCUUGAGUUUGGGAGAGGGACGCGGAAUUCCAGGUGUAGCGGUGAAAUGCGUAGAUAUCUGGAGGAACACCGGUGGCGAAGGCGGCGUCCUGGACCAACACUGACACUGAUGAGCGAAAGCCAGGGGAGCAAACGGG
rnacentral:rRNA from 1 species